AACGAACGCUGGCGGCAGGCCUAACACAUGCAAGUCGAGCGCCCCGCAAGGGGAGCGGCGGACGGGUGAGUAACACGUGGGAACGUACCCUUUGCUACGGAAUAGUCUCGGGAAACUGGGGGGUAAUACCGUAUGUGCCCUUCGGGGGAAAGAUUUAUCGGCAAAGGAUCGGCCCGCGUUGGAUUAGGUAGUUGGUGGGGUAAAUGGCCUACCAAGCCGACGAUCCAUAGCUGGUUUGAGAGGAUGAUCAGCCACACUGGGACUGAGACACGGCCCAGACUCCUACGGGAGGCAGCAGUGGGGAAUCUUAGACAAUGGGCGCAAGCCUGAUCUAGCCAUGCUGCGUGAGCGAUGAAGGCCUUAGGGUUGUAAAGCUCUUUCAGUGGGGAAGAUAAUGACUGUACCCACAGAAGAAGCCCCGGCUAACUCCGUGCCAGCAGCCGCGGU
rnacentral:rRNA from 1 species